GAUGGGGGAGGACAAUGGAGGGCGUGCGGAUGGACACUUGGGGUGCAGGUGGAGCGGACGGGAUGUGCUAUGGGUUAGAUUGGGGGUGAAGGGAAAGAGGACUUCAGGAGGAUGCAGGGCUUAGGCUUGGACAACUGGGUGGGGUAUGGUGACACUUGGUGAGAUGGGGACAAUGAAAAGAAAAGAAGGUUUGGGAGCUGGGGAGGAAUGAAGAGUUUCCGUUCCGUUUUGGCUGGCUUCAGUCAGAGAGGUUUCUAUGGCCUCUCAGUGGAAGUAACAGGAAGGCAGGAGGAGCUUGGAAUCGGAGCUCAGUGGGUGAGGUGACUGUGAUGCAGCCGUUCAAAACCGUGCGGCAAAAGACUCUUCAGUGAUAUGGGGGAAAGUUCAUCAGGUGGAAAAGGCAAGUUACAAAUGGUCAGUAGUUGGCAGUUGUAAGCACACAAAUAAUAAGAGGCCUGAGGCUGGAGGAGACCCCCUGGGGAGAGUAUGUAGAUCAAGAGAAGGGAUCUCAGGAUGGAGCCCAAGCACCCCGACAUUCAGAGAUUGGGAAGGUGAAGAGGACCCGCUAAGGAGACAGAGGGGCAGCCCGUGAGAUCGCAGGAGAGCAGGAGAGCAGAGUGUUUCUAGGAGGAAGGAGUGGACACCUGGGUCAUGUGCUACUAGGAGGUGGGGGACAAGACACAGAGAGAGAAUCGUCUGUGUAAUUGUGCACGUGAGGUCAUGGGUGGUCCUGAUGGAGUCAGAGCCCCCUGGAGCAGUGGGGGCUGGAGUUGUUGGAGAGGGUUGAAGAGCAAAAGGGGGCGAGGGGGUAGAGACAGUGAGUGUAGAUGGUGGGUGCAAGAGUCUCUGCUGGGAAUGGGAUUGUGGGGUCAGGGGGUGAGAUAUGGAAACUUGUUCAAAUGUGUUUAUGAUGGAAGACAUUGCAGCAUGUAUACUAGCGGGAAUAAGCUACUGCUGAGACAGGAGACAUCCUGGAAGAGUGGACUUUGGGAAGGUGCCAGAGAAUGGGGUCCAGAGUGUAGAUGGAAGGGCUGACCUCAUUGGGAGAGAAGCGGCCCAAGCCAGCUGAGGCUCCUGGGCGCACAGCCUCUAGCCUGCCUCCCUGGGGAGACUCUGUUGUGCUCUCCACUUCCAUCUCACCCUCCCCACCCAGGCAGAGGAAGGAAAGGGGCCUGGCAGCAGGAGCAGGCUGGGGGAGGGGUGAUUUGAGGGCAUAUGGUCAAUUCUUGGGGCCAGUGUGGUGUCAGAGGCUUGAGUUUUCAGGAGAGAAGGCUGGGCCUUAGGUGCUCCUGGAAACCACCCCGUCCAGGCACUGGGAAGACGGGUUGGGAUCUCAGACUGACCCCAUUUGCCUAGCUCACCCUGAGUCCCUCAGUCUCCUAAACCCCCAAACCCAAAGCCAGUGCUCAGGCUUAUUUCUCCUAUCUCUUCCUCAUUGUCCCUGGCAGCAGGAUAUCAUACUAGAUGCUCUCAGCACCCCUCCCCCUACUUCUGUGCCCUUGGUUCUGCCUCUCUCCAGCCUUGGAUCCAGUGGGUAACUCCCACACUUGCCACCUCCUCCCUCCCCUCCAUUCUGCAUGACACCCCUCAUCCAAGGAGGUAGGUGGUCCCAGGGGCCUGGAUUCAGCCAGCCCCGCUUGCCCAGACAGCCCUGGAGGAGAGACCCUCAGGGAAGUCUGGAAAUCCUUUGCCAGAGGCCUGGACCUUGGACUGUGAUUCAGAGCAGGCUUUCAGGAAAGCCGGGCUGGAGAGGAGCUGUUGGCCAGGCUGGGGAGGGCUGCUUAGGAAGGGGCAGCCUCUGGGAAGGGUAUGCCCUCUGUGAUCUCAAGGGAGGGGCCUGACCUGGGCCCAGCUCAUGGCUGUCCCAUCACCAUGAGGGAUGAUGCCCUGGGCCGCUCUCCCUGGGGCUGGCCUGGCCGACUGCCGCGGGGAUGCAGGGGAGGGGCCUGAACCAGCGCCUCCAUCCUGCACUUCUGCUCCUGCCCCCACUUCAAUCCACUGCCCAAGAUGACCACAAUGCAUCCAUUCAAACCGCAUGUAAAAGACUAGUCAAGGAUGUGGGGGAAAGUUCAUGAUGCAGCAUUAACUGGGAAAGGCAGGCCACAAGAUGGUAAAUACCGUACCACAGUCCCCACUUUACAGAUGAAGAUACUGAGGGUCAGGGAAGCAGAGUGACAACCCUGUUAAGAAGCUCAGGAGCUGACAUCACAGUCGAGGGCCCUGUGACCCCACUCUGCCUCCAUAGGACUGCAGUUAAGGUGGGGGUAGGAGGAAUCCCACAAAGACCAGAAAAGUCCUCCUCUCCCAGAGGACCCCACCCUUCGCCCCAGCAUCUCUGGCCCAGCUGUAAGAUCUUCUGGUCAUAAACCUGUUCUCAAACAGCCAUCUCUUGGUUGGCCUUUUCACUUUCUGUUUUCCUUUUAGAAAAGUUCUUGUGCAAAUUCCGUUCUUGUGGGUCAGAGAUUUGGUCCAGGCCUGGGUGAGAGAGAGAAGGAGGGGCCCUGAGGCAGAGUGAGCAGAGGAGGGGCUGGGCCAGACCCCAGGGCGAGUCAGCUGCCCCUGCGAGGCUGGUGCUGGUAUUUAAGGGUCUGUUCCUCUCCUCAGCCUCCAUUUGGCACGGGGGUGCCAAGAGGGCAGACCUCCCUCCACGGCCCUCUUCUUGCAGAUGAAAGAGACGCCUGCUCCUGCAGGCCCCCCUCCUCCGUGCUGCAGCUGGCCUCGUCUUUCGUCUUCCGAUGGCCCAUUCUUGGCGAUAAUCUGGAGCUUCUAAACUGGGGGCCCCCAUCCUUUCCUUGCCAGUGACCCCUUAAAAAUCAAUUUCUAUACAAAUAUCCAAUCAUUGUGUUGUAUACCUCAAACUAAUAUAAAGUUAUAUGUCAAUUAUCCCUCAAUAAAAACAAUUGAUUUAAAAAUUACAAAAAUUAUGGUAAAUACUAUAAGAGCAGAGAAGGGCCUAUAAAAAUCAAAAGCAUUCUGUGUGCCCUUUCCCCUUGCCCCAUGCUGUUCCCCAGGGAACCACUCCUAAUGAUUUCUUGUUUAUUCCUUUAUAAACAAGCAUAUAUAGCUACAAGCCCCUAUGUGCGUUUUCUUUUUUUUAAAAUACAAAUGAGACCAUACUAUAACCAUGUUAUCUUACAGCUUGCUUUUUUUUUCAUUUAAUGUCAUAUCUUGGACAUUUUUUUCUUGUCGAUAUCUGUAGAUCUACCCAUUCUUUGUAAUGACUGCCAAGUCCAUUGUAAAGGUUUGAAUGACCAGUUCCUUUUGAGAAGGAUAUUUAUAGACUGCUUCCAAUUUUUGCCAUUACAAACAGUGCUGAGAUGAGCAACUAUAUUUGUAGGCUAAUUGCCAGCUGACUAAAAUUUGAAGAUAUGUUCCCAUAUUGCCUUCCAAAAACACUAACAAUAUAAAGUUCCCCCAAUAAUGUAUGAGAAUGCCCAUUUCCUUAUAUGCACACCAAUACUGGGAUUAUCAAACUUUUAAAUCUCUGCUGAUUUGAUAGGUGAAAAAUGAUAUCACUUUAAGAGUGAGGCUGAGCAUACUUUUCUUUAUUUAUUAGCUGUUUGAAUUUCUUUCCUUUCUUUUUUUGUGAAUCCUAUGUUAUUGGCCUUUGAUUAUUUUGGGGGAGGGUUAUUCAUCUUUUUCUCAUUGAUUUGUAGGAGCUCUUUGUAUAUUAAGGAAAUAAACAUCUACGAUCCAUAUUAUUAUUUUCUUCCCAACAAACUCCAUGUUUGGAAAAAAUUUAUUAAACAGCUGUUGCUAAGUUAUUA